CAUCAGUUUAGAGAAGGAUAGCAUUGUUGAAUAAAAAUUAAAUUGGAAUUGUGUAUGUGAUGUGUCUGUUGGUGCACUAGCCGGUGUUUUCUCUAGCCAGCUAACGUCAACUGUCACCGCCGACAUCGCGUGCGUGCGCGUGAAGCAGUGAAGCCAAGCCAGCCGACUCCAGGGACUCGACAGAAAACGCAGUUAGAGGAAACUUCCACCCAAGCAGACGUUGAGGCCCAGAUUUCCCUGCCAAGCACUCUUAAGACUCAUCAUGCUCGGAGAGUCCAUUCUGGGGGCAAAUAGGUGGAUGCUUUCCAUCGAGUGCAGAGUUCUCCAACCAAAUCCAACUGAGUGACCGUUCCGAAUUCACUUCUGCUCUGGCUGUGCUUUUUGCAUCAUACUAUAUAUUUAACAUGGAAUAUCCUGCGGAGGCAGCCACUACAUUAGAAUUUAUCCAGAGGGUAGAAGACUCCAGCCCAGGAAAUUGACUAAUUCAGGGCCGUUUCUGAAGAAAAAUACAGUUCUGGGAGAAAAACAACAUUCAGGGACCAAAUUCUACUGUUUGAAAUCCUGCUGUUUUUAAAUAAUUUAAUUUGCCUUUUAUGCAUUCUAAUUUUAACCGAACAUUUUAAUACAUUUGAACAGGAUUGAUUUGUAUGUUCAGAAAAGUGUUGUUGUAUACAAAACGAAAUGAAAUGUUAACAGAAAAAUGUUUACCUACUGAAGAUUUUU